ACUCCUACGGGAGGCAGCAGUGGGGAAUAUUGCACAAUGGGCGCAAGCCUGAUGCAGCCAUGCCGCGUGUAUGAAGAAGGCCUUCGGGUUGUAAAGUACUUUCAGCAGUGAGGAAGGUGGGUAUGUUAAUAGCAUACUCAUUUGACGUUAGCUGCAGAAGAAGCACCGGCUAACUCCGUGCCAGCAGCCGCGGUAAUACGGAGGGUGCGAGCGUUAAUCGGAAUUACUGGGCGUAAAGCGCAUGCAGGUGGUUUGUUAAGUCAGAUGUGAAAGCCCGGGGCUCAACCUCGGAAUUGCAUUUGAAACUGGCAAACUAGAGUACUGUAGAGGGGGGUAGAAUUUCAGGUGUAGCGGUGAAAUGCGUAGAGAUCUGAAGGAAUACCGGUGGCGAAGGCGGCCCCCUGGACAGAUACUGACACUCAGAUGCGAAAGCGUGGGGAGCAAACAGGAUUAGAUACCCUGAUAGGCUCUGC
rnacentral:rRNA from 1 species